rnacentral:lncRNA from 1 species
UCUCCAAAGCCUGAAGUCAUCCAAAGGCCAAAUAAGAUUGCAUGCCAGGAGUGAUAUCUGAAAGUAGAAAAUAGAACCUUUGGUGUUCCAGUCAAAAUGAAGGGAAGAUGAGAAGGUGUUCAAGAGAUGACAUUGCAUAGUGUCACAGAGAGGACUGAAUUGAGAGUUGGGGGGUCUGGGCUGAGCACCUCUGCCUGGACCCCAGGGGAAGCACAUCCCAGCUUGCUUUUCUAUCACAUGUGUGGGGAACACAGCUCCCCAUCCAUGGAUCUCCAGAAUUCAUAAGAAGAAGCCUCAUGGGCAUGGAGGCAAACUACCAAGUUUCCAAAAAUUCAUUUGUCAUCAAUAAAAUGAGCGA